rnacentral:rRNA from 1 species
UAUAAGCUUCAAUUUUGUGAAACUGCAAAUGGCUCAUUAAAACAGUCACAAUGCAUUUGGCGAUCAAUUCUAAAUGGAUAUCUGUGGAAAUUCUAUAGUUAAUACAUGCACUAAAACUUAUCUUUGGGGAAAGGUUGUGGUCGUUAGUUACAGAACCAAUUCAAGCUAUGCUUGGACACUUGAAUGAUUCACAAUGACAAAUGAAUUACAUGGCAACAGCUGGUGAUAAUUCAUUCCAGUUUCUGACCUAUCAGCUUUCGACGGUAAGGUAUUGGCUUACCGUGGCAAUGACAGGUGACGGAGGAUUAGGGUUUGAUUCCGGAGAGGGAGCUUGAGAAAUGGCUACCACAUCUAAGGAAGGCAGCAGGCGCGCAAAUUACCCAAUCCUGGCACAGGGAGGUAGUGACAAGAAAUAACAAUACAAGGCAUCCAUGUCUUGUACUUGGAAUGAAUGGAUUUUAAACCUUUCUAUAAGUAUCAAUUGGAGGGCAAGUCUGGUGCCAGCAGCCGCGGUAAUUCCAGCUCCAAUAGCGUAUAUUAAAGUUGUUGCGGUUAAAAAGCUCGUAGUUGGAUUUCUGCUGAGGAUGGCUGGUCCGCCCUCUGGGUGAGUAUUUGGCACAGCCUGAGCAUUUAUCUUGAAAGUACAACUGCACUUGACUGUGUGGUGUGUUAUUGAGAACAUUUACUUUGAGGAAAUCAGAGUGUUUCAAGCAGGUGUUUGGCCUUGAAUACAUUAGCAUGGAAUAAUAAUCAAGAUCGUGGUUCUUUUUUGUUGGUUUCUAGAAUUGAGGUAAUGAUU